GCCCCUAUAGCUCAACGGACAGAGCGCAAGCCUCCGGAGCUUGAGAUCGGGGUUCGAUUCCUCGUAGGGGUA
rnacentral:tRNA from 2 species